rnacentral:rRNA from 1 species
CGUAGUACCGUGGCAGGGUACGCGGUAAUACGUAUGGGGGACGGGUUGUCCGGAUUUAGUGGGCGUAAAGAGCGUGUAGGCGGCCAGGCAGGUCCGCUGUGAAAACUCGAGGCUCAACCUCGUGAGGUCGGUGGAAACCGUCUGGCUAGAGUCCGGAAGAGGAGAGUGGAAUUCCCGGUGUAGCGGUGAAAUGCGCAGAUAUCGGGAAGAACACCCGUGGCGAAGGCGGCUCUCUGGGACGGUACUGACGCUGAGACGCGAAAGCGUGGGGAGCGAACAGGAUUAGAUACCCCAGUAGUC